rnacentral:lncRNA from 1 species
CUCCAAAUGAGAAUCACUCCUUGUGUGACUUUCAACCACAUUGUGGAUGUCCUUUUGGACACUUGAAAGUCUGGCUCAGAAAACGACUAGGUACUCCGGUCCGCUCUUAUCGACAUGCACAGUGCCAGAGCCUGCUGCCAGGCACACCCCCCCUCAUGAGAGAGCUGAGAAGACAGCUCUCAUCCUGGCAGUAUCCUUGUCCUUUCUUUGGCCUUUUCUCUGCUAAAUCACGCGUUUCGUUUCCUUAUCGAUGAGUCGAUGAUUUAAAAACAAAAGGAUGUGUCCCAGUGGAGGGACUGGGCGAUCAAAAUAGUCGGUAUCUCCAUCGAGUUCACUGGAACUUGUGAUUCCGGAACAAGGCUUGUUUGCGGGUCACAUUCUCUUGGCACACCGGUGUUCUGACCUCAUCCGCUUCACAUCCUUUUUCUGAAGAAGCUGGGCUCCUCAUAAAGUACCUUUCAGCGUUUCCAGCGACGAAACCGUUCUAUCCGGUUGAGCUGCCGGCGACUCACUG